UGACUCAGUGGUAGAGUGCUUGCCUUGCAUGCAUGAGGUCCUGGGUUCGAUUCCUCAG
rfam:Dipodomys ordii contig_34949, whole genome shotgun sequence.